AUUGACCGCUGGCGGCAGGCCUAAAACAUGCAAGUCGAACGAGUGGCGGACGGGUGAGUAAUGUAUGGGAAACUGCCUGAUGGAGGGGGAUAACUACUGGAAACGGUAGCUAAUACCGCAUACCAUCGGAUGUGCCCAUAUGGGAUUAGCUAGUAGGUGGAGUAAAGUCGCAACUAGGAGACGCUCCCUAACUGGUCUGAGAGGAUGACCAGCCACACGGGAACUGAGACACGGUCCAGAUUCCUACGUGAGGCAGCAGUGGGGAAUAUUGCACAAUGUGCGAAAGCCUGAUGCAGCCAUGCCGCGUGUAUGAAGAAGGCCUUCGGGUUGUAAAGUACUUUCAGCGGGGAGGCGUUACCCGCAGAAGAAGCACCGGCUAACGCCGUGCCAGCAGCCGCGGUAAUAC
rnacentral:rRNA from 1 species